GACUGAGUCAACAUCAAAGAUGGCGACGUCCAAAACGCAAAACUGCACUAGAAGAUUCGUUCAAGAAUCAGAAUCGUUCAAGUCUCGCUCAUGCGGCAUCCUUGGCGUGUCUAUAGGAAAACAACCCAAGACAUGAGCCUUUUUCUCCCGUUGUUUGAGAUGGGGUCAGAAUCAAUGUUCUUGCAGAACUUCUUGUACCUUCCUAUUGAAUCAGACACAGCGGAUGAAGGCAGCGGCAGUGAAGAUCGAUCAGUCUGAGUCAGUAGGAUAAAAAGUCAGUUGACAAAGCCAGUUUCUUGAGGAGCCUUCUUCAUAAGUAUUUCAACAGGAAAGAAAGCGAGUGAUAAGGAGAGAGAGAAAAAAAAAAAGAAUGAAGGGGACAAAAAUAGGACACAAUCUGCUGAGGCGCGCACAACGGCCUCAAGAGAGAGGGUCAGCCAGCAGUGCCUACAGAGCAAACAUCUGCCUCAGCUGCAGGGUCUUCCUCCUCCUCUCACACCUCAAGGGAAGCGCUUCAAGAUGGGCACGCAAACCUCCUCUUUUCCCCCUCUCUCUACACAUAAUCUAUUCAUCCUUCAGUCUCUUUCUCUGUAAUAUGACCUCUCGCCACUCUGAAAGUUUCUGAGACUGACUGAUGAGAUUAUAAUAAUGUAGAUUCAUAUAUGCAUAAUGGUCAAUUAACAGUGACAGGUGUAGGAAAAGCCCAGUGCUGGUGAGACGAGGUGCCACAACCGGUUUAAUUAUCCGCUGUGCUAAUGUGACCUCUGACCCCCGAGCCACGGCCCUAGUGUGGCAGAUGAUGGCCACAGCAAAUUUGGGUGGCGUAGGGGAAAAUGUGAGACACAACCUCUGGAGAGAGGAUGUCAAGAAGGUGUAUGUCGCAAAAACACCCGCUAAUGUGAGCUUUAUGAAGGAUAUGAAUCAUUUUAAAACAUCCACCUGUCUAGAUCAAGCUUAAUCUUAUAUAUAAAAACAUCUUAUUAUGAAACCCUAGAUUUGCAUUUCCUGGAGGAAAUACCAGAGCUUACUUUAGGAUUUAGACUUUGGUUCUGUAUAAAUGAAAUGCCACAUCAGAUCUGCUUUAAACAUGGUGAAUGCAUUCAAAUCAUAUAAUGUCUCACCUCCUUUGAGUACAAAGACA